rnacentral:rRNA from 1 species
UACAGAGGGCUCAAGCGUUGUUCGGAUUCAUUGGGCGUAAAGGGUGCGUAGGCGGCGCGGUAAGUCGGGUGUGAAAUCUCGGAGCUUAACUCCGAAACUGCAUUCGAUACUGCCGUGCUUGAGGACUGGAGAGGAGACUGGAAUUUACGGUGUAGCGGUGAAAUGCGUAGAUAUCGUAAGGAAGACCAGUGGCGAAGGCGGGUCUCUGGACAGUACCUGACGCUGAGGCACGAAGGCCAGGGGAGCAAACGGG